CCUACGGGGGGCAGCAGUAGGGAAUCUUCCACAAUGGGCGAAAGCCUGAUGGAGCAACGCCGCGUGUGUGAUGAAGGCUUUCGGGUCGUAAAGCACUGUUGUAUGGGAAGAACAGCUAGAAUAGGAAAUGAUUUUAGUUUGACGGUACCAUACCAGAAAGGGACAGCUAAAUACGUGCCAGCAGCCGCGGUAAUACGUAUGUCCGGAGCGUUAUCCGGGUUUAUUGGGCGUAAGGCGAGGGCAGACGGUUUAUUAAGUAUGAUGUGAAAGGACGGAUCUCAAAUACGGAAUGGCAUUGGAAACUGGUUAACUUGAGUGCAGUAGAGGUAAGUGGGACUCCAGGUGUAGCGGUGGAAUGCGUAGAUAUAUGGAAGAACACCAGUGGCGAAGGCGGCUUACUGGACUGCAACUGACGUUGAGGCUCGAAAGUGUGGGUAGCAAACAGGAUUAGAUACCCUUGUAGUC
rnacentral:rRNA from 1 species